rnacentral:rRNA from 1 species
UACAGAGGUCCCGAGCGUUGUUCGGAUUCACUGGGCGUAAAGGGUGCGUAGGCGGCCUGUUAAGUCAGGGGUGAAAGACGGUAGCUCAACUAUCGCAGUGCCCUUGAUACUGAUGGGCUUGAAUGUACUAGAGGUAGGCGGAAUGUGACAAGUAGCGGUGAAAUGCAUAGAUAUGUCACAGAACACCAAUUGCGAAGGCAGCUUACUAUGGUAUUAUUGACGCUGAGGCACGAAAGCGUGGGGAUCAAACAGG